rnacentral:rRNA from 1 species
AGAUUGAACGCUGGCGGCAGGCCUAACGCAUGCAAGUCGAGCGGUAGAGAGGUGCUUGCAUCUCUUGAGAGCGGCGGACGGGUGAGUAAUGCCUAGGAAUCUGCCUAGUGGUGGGGGAUAACGUUCGGAAACGGACGCUAAUACCGCAUACGUCCUACGGGAGAAAGCGGGGGACCUUCGGGCCUCGCGCCAUUACGAUGAGCCGUAGGUCGGAUUAGCUAGUUGGUGAGGUAAUGGCUCAACCGAAGGCGACG